rnacentral:rRNA from 1 species
CCUACGGGUGGCAGCAGUAGGGAAUAUUGCUCAAUGGGGGAAACCCUGAAGCAGCAACGCCGCGUGGAGGAUGAAGGUUUUAGGAUUGUAAACUCCUUUUGUGAGAGAAGUUAAUGACGGUAUCUGACGAAUAAGCACCGGCUAACUCCGUUCCAGCAGCCGCGGUAAUACGGCGGGUGCAAGCGUUACUCGGAAGCACUGGGCGUAAAGGGGGCGCAGGCGGGUUUGUAAGUCAGAUGUGAAAGUGUGUAGCUUAACUUCAGAACUGCAUUUGAAACUAGGAGUCUUGAGUGGGGGAGAGGUAGGUGGAAUUCGUGGGGUAGGGGUAAAAUCCGUAGAUAUCACGAAGAAUACUCAUUGCGAAGGCGACCUACUAAAACGUUACUGACACUCAUGCACGAAAGCGUGGGGAGCAAACAGGAUUAGAUACCCCUGUAGUC